rnacentral:rRNA from 1 species
CAUCCCGAACUCAGAAGUGAAACGCAAUCGCGCCGAUGGUAGUGUGGGGUCUCCCCAUGUGAGAGUAGGUCAUCGCCAGAC